GCGUGGGCUGGAGGGGGCGGCGGGCGAGGGACGAGGGCCGCCGCGCUGUUCGCUUUGCGGAGUUUGGAGAUGGGCCAUGCGCCUGGCGAAGUGCUUCGCCCUGUUACUACCGAAUCUCUUUGUGGUAGAGAUUACGUUUUUCAUAAGGGUAAACGAGGCCUAGGGGGAUUGAGCUAGACAGACAAACGGGGAACCCAAGGCUUUGCCCAGUUUUUUAAUUUUUUAAAAUCAUGUAUCAAAGGCCAGCUGUGUUCAGGACCCAGUGCUGAGGCUGAGAAUGCAGAAAGCAGCCAGGCUGAUGGGGUUCCUGGGCUACAGGAGUAAAGGAACUGUUGGGGGUGCGGAGGGUGACAGCUAAGAAAGCAGUAUGGUUAUGACUGACCUUUGGGGGCUCUUACUAUAUAUAGUAACAGUUCCAAAUGCUGUACAUGAACUACGGUCUUUGAUCCUUUCAGGAAUCUUAUGAAGUGGGUACUACAAUUCCCUCGGUUGCAUAGGUGCAGAAAGCAAGACGUAAAAGGAGUUUAAGAUGCCCGAGGUCAUGUGAUCAUUAUAGUUACAGUCAUAACACUAUACUGUAUGGUCUUCCAAAUAAUACGUGAUAAGAGACUCACGCUCUGUCACCAUGAGAUGACACCAUGUCACUAUCUGGAGAUAACUUAAGGAGUCCUUGGGCUGACAGCCAGGUGUAAGGGUGAACUUGGGAGAGUAGUUGAAAAAACAUUGCUGGCAGGUUUGCUUGCGCAAAAUGCGGCGUGGGAUAAAAGGCCAAUGUGGCUCAAGUUCAGAGAGUGAGGUGGAGAGUAAUGUGACAUGAGGCUUCGUAGACGGAAGCAAAUUAUUUAUUCCCUGUGUGCCAGAUCUAAGGAGGAGGCUUUACCUUUAAAAAGCCCCUGAAGGAUUUUAAGAGGGAAGUGAUAAGGUUGUGUGUGUUCUGCAUAUCCACUGUCAUGGUCCGACAGCCUUGAACUUCUGGGAUAAGGCAGAUUUUUGAGUCUUCUGCACUGCUGUCCUUAUGUCUCCCUUUGUUCUUCAGAAUGACCGUGUUCACCUUGAGGUUUGAGCUUGAAUGUAUCACUUGCAUCUUUUCCUUUCACCUAAUCUAAGUUCGAGCUAAGGAGAAAAUUUUACACUACAACUCUUUAAAGAAAGGUCCUUUUAAUGUUUGUUAGCUACUCACAGUUCAGUCAUUAACAAUUUAUUGAGCAUUUGCUUAGUACGAGAUUCUGGAGCUAAAGAGAAGCAAAAGCCAUUUUCCUGUACUUGAGAUGCUUUUAUUUUCCUGGGGUAAUAGGAAUGUAAAUAGGUAUUUAAAAUGCAGUGUGGCAAAUGCUUAGUGGAGAAAGGAGCUGGAUCAGGAAGCGGUUGGGGAUAGGGAAAAACAGCAUUUGAGGAAGAGCAAACGUGGAGGGCAGGGACUUGCAAAAGGGCACACGGGAAGAUGCUCUCCACGUGGCUGUAAUUCUGUGGGUAGGUGGAGCUAAAUGAGAUGAGACUGGAUGGAUCGGUUGGGGCUAAAGUGCCGGGCCCUGUGGGGUGUGCUGCGGCUUUGGACUUUUGCUUAUAGGAAACAGAUAACGGAGGUCUUGUCAUAAACACUUGACAUUUAAAAAAAAAAAAUUAUUCUGGUGGCAGCAUGAGGGCUCUAUGGCAUCAGGAGAGACCAGGAACCAGAGUACCAUUUAGAGUGUUGUGCUAGUCCGAAGCAGAGAUGGUAAAGGUGUGAUUGAACGGAGCUCAGCAUAUUGGAAAGACUCUGAGAAUCAGUGGCAAGGAAGGAUGAACCUGAGAACUAGUGGAAUUCAGGAGGCAGCUGGGAGAAGGGGAACUGCCUUGGAGACAAAAAAGAUGGUCAGAGAAGCAGAAGGAAAACCAAACUGCUCUCUUAGAAUCUAGGGGUUGGGGGAAGAAAGUGUUGAGAGGUAGAAAGUAGCUCAAAAGCAAGAUGAGAAUGUGAUUUUAAAGUAGCUUUAAAAAAUUGGAGUUCCUGUUUCGGCUCAGCAGGUUAAGAACCUGACGUUGUCUCUCUGAGGAUUUAGGUUGAUCCCCGGCCUCACUCAGUGGGUGAAGGAUCCAGGAUUGCUACAAGCUGUGGAGUAGGUGACAGAUGUGGCUUGGAGCCAGUGUUGCCAAGGCUGUGGUGUAGGCCUCAGCCACAGCUCCGUUUUGACCCCUGACUGCAAGUGCCGCCAUAAAAGGGGAAAAAAAAAUCAUGAAGCCUUGAGAAUAGGCCUUUGGUGACCAGUGUGAAAGCAGGCGAGGAGAAAAAUCACCUUGUUUUGAGUACUGCACUCAACCAAAUUUAUAUCCUUUUAAAAAGGUUUGUUAGAGCAUCAACUAAUACAAAACAGUGUUGAGUAUGCCAGGUAAUUUAAGGGAUUAAAUUAGGUUUGAUUCUAGAAUGGUUUGCUGUGGUUGCUUAAACUUGCUGUAUGCUGUGUAGUUUGGAGGAUACAAUAGAACAAUAAUAGUUAACAUCCCUGUUCUUAGUUCAUCCUCAGUUACCCUAUGAAGUAAGGACUAUUGGGGCCACAUUUUACAUAAUAAACUGGCUCAUUGUGUGCCUUGUGUGAGAACAAAUAUCCCAUUUUACUUUUUAGUCUUCCUCAACUUACCCUCAGGCCUCGAUGGCAGAAAUAUUUGCCAAAUGUAUGUUAUUUAACGUAGAAAACACUCCCUCCUAGACUGCAGGCCGGUGAUGAAACGUGGGUGAGAAGCAGGUGAAUGAGCCCAGCCAGGCAAGCAGCUGAGCCUGCUUAUUAGGAGAUGUGAGAGCAUGCCCGCCUGAAAAACUCCCGUGGCUUUGCUCGAAUUCUCAUCCCUCCGAAAGUAGAGAAAGGGCGGGGUGAAGUAGACGCCUGCCUUUGCCUGAAGACGCAGUUGACUGAUGCUGUUGAAUGAUGAGCAGCAAGAGCCGUGGAAGAACUCCAUUCAGAGGCAGUCGUGAUAAACCAGAGCAUCAGCCCUUUCCGCUGGGAUACCAAUAAGUCUUGAACUUCAAAACUGCUGACCUAAAAAGGAUACUUGAGAAGGAGCAAGUCUUUCCUUUUUUCUUUUAAAGAAAGCAACACCAGAAGCAGUCGAACUUCCUUGUUCACUUAGGUGCAUGCAAAAAAGAAAACAGGUUUACUCUGCUUCAGGACCCUCUCUUACCCCUCAUGGCGUGAGCCUGAAGCCUGUCCACUGAGGAGCGUUCUAAGAACUUCCAGAUCAUUCCAUGGAACUACAGCAGAAAGGACCCGAGGUGAGAAGAGGUAAUGUGCCAUCUUUUAGGUUCCUUGUUACUGGUUUAAGGUCUUAGACAUGCAUCCUUCCUUAUUGUAGCAAUAGCUAUCAUGUCAAUACCAGGCCCCGUGCAUUUGAUUCUGUGUUCAAACCUUUCAGGUUAAAUACUAUUAAUAUUUGCCAUUUGGCAAAUGGGCAGAUUAAGUCUUGGAAACCCUCAGUGACUGGCCAGAUCACACAAGUCAGUGAAUCCGUCAGGUUCUAAAGCUCAAGCUCUGAACUAUUUUGCUUUAUUUACUUCUUGGGCUAAAAAAUUCAGCAUCAAUGUGGUGAAAAGCCAGAAAUCACAAUCUAACCACAUGCAAAACAUUUGCUGAAAGCUUUCAUUAAAAAUAGCCAACAGGAGCUCCCAUCACAGCGCAGGGGAAACUAGGAACCAUGAGGGUGUGGGUUCAAUCCCUGGCCUCACUCAGUGGGUUAAGGAUCCAGCAUUGCCAUGAGCUGUGGUGUAGGUCACAGACGCAGCUCGGAUCUGGUGUUGCUGUGGCUGUGGCAUAGGCCAGCAGCUGUAGCUCCAAUUGGACCCCUAGCCUGGGAACCUCCAUACGUGGUGGGUGCAGCCCUAAAAAGCAAAAAAAAAAAAGUCCCACCUAUUGUGAAGCUGUUUGGAGGGGACAUAUACAAAAUAAAUGAAAAGAACUGUUGUUUUUCUUGAAUAGUAUUCUUGUAGGGCUUAUGUGAUAACUGCAAACUGGAAACGACUGGAUAUUGCACCAAGUUGCUGGGGCUGAUUACAACGGCCCCAUAAAAGGAAGGACCAUCAUUGUACAAACCUGUCUCUUCCAGGCCACCACCAAUUGAACUGAAGAUGUAUUUCCAUCAUAUCCUAUUCUGACAUGUCAGCCCCUAACCGACUUAACUAGCUAAUAUCACUAACUUAAAACCCAAAUCAGUAGGUACUUAGGGAAAAAAGGGUUUUCACUGCUCUAAAAACACAUUCCUUCCCUUUGUUUGUUUGUUUGUUUUUUAGGGGCGCACCCACUGCAUAUGGAGCUUCCCAGGCUAGGGGUCGAAUUGGAGCUGUAGUUGACAGCCUACGCCACAGCCACAGCAAUGCGUGGUCCGAGCUGCGCCUGCAACCGACAGCACAGCUCAUGGCCAGAUCCUUAACCAGUGAGCAAGGCCAGGGAUCGAACCUGCAACCUCUUUGUUCCUAGUCGGGUUCGUUUCCUCUGAGCCACGACAGGAACUCCAUCCUUCCCUUCUUUAUUAAAGGUAGUGUUAAAUCGGCACAGUGUGAGAGCCGCCCUGAACUCGGAAGCACUUGCAUCCGAGAUGGACGCAGAAGCCCAGGCAGCUCUAGUUCCUGUUCGGGGCUGCACUGGUUAUAUACGGCCCAUACACAAAGGAAAGGCCCCAGUACUGCCUCUUUCAUCCGUAAUUUUAAGUAAGAUUGAAAGACAUGCCCCAAAAUGCCAUUGGCUUGAUUCAUGUACUGUCUUCAGUCAAAUCUCAACAUUCCAUUCCAAACACGAAAUAUAUGUUUUUAAUGUAAAUAAGUAAACUUUCCAGCUCUGAAUACGAGGGGGUGGGAAGCCUUUAUCUUGGCGGGGGUUGGGCAGUGCAGCCGUCUAACCUCCUUCAAGUAGCCUUCGAAUCCCUUAAAGUGAAAGUGCUUGUUAUUUGUCUUUAGCAAAUAAAACAAACAGCACUCUUUGAUCUUUAGGAAGCUCUUUCUUGUUCAAGUAACAUUCUGUCUGACUUUUAUGUUUCAGCAUUGUAUAUUUAAUUAUUUUUUAAAGUUUUGUUUUCAAUGAUUACACUUUUUCAUAACUUAGGAUAAACACAGGCAUGCUUUGUUAAAGAUUAAAAAUAAAUCUCACGAAACUGCAAAAGGUGGCAAAGAUAAUACCACAUGGGGUCGGUAUGUUCCAAAACACGAUUCUCAGGGGACCCCCUCUAAACACACUGCUUCAUUAGAAUUCUUGUUCUGAAAAGUUUCAGGAAGCCCCUGACUCUAACCCACCCUUUCCUGAAACUGGUGAAAGUAGGAAAAAAAAUUUCCCCUGCAGUGAAAAAUAGAAGAAUCUCUACACAUCAGGGAGGCAUGUUGUGUCUUUUUUUAGAUUGUUCCUUGGUGCAAAAAUACCUUGCUGCUAACUUUAUCAUGUCCUUCAAACAGGGAACACACUGGGAUAGCAAUCACAAAAACAAGUGUGUUUACAUCAUUCAGUAGAUAUGUUAUCAAAGGACGGCUUUUAAUUCGACUUGAGAGUAAUUUCUAGAGCUUAGUACAUUGAAAACAGCAUCUCACUGCAACCUAUUCAAUAUUGACUGUGACCGUUUAUAAAUACGGGAACUUUUGGAAAUAGCAAGAUAGAGAUAGAAACAGAUUUUUCCUUGGCGACUCAUUUUGCAGCCCUUUCAGACGUAUCUUUGAAUGUUCACUUGUUCUUCCACUUUACUCCUCCUAUUGCAUUUCCUUUAUUCUUUCUGAAACAUUUCCUCUUUCUGCGGUUGGGAGAGCGGUGGGCCCUCAGGGGUCUGGGACGAGGCCGUCUGAAAUGCUAGUGCAGUUCUUGAAGCAGACGGUAGGUGGCGAUGAAAAGCCGUGCCUCUCUGCCAGCCGUCCUUUCUGGAAGUCCCAAAUCAGAAGUGUGAAAAGUCAGAGCUAAGAGGACAGGGGAGAGAGCAGACGGGAACCAGAAAAUGUGGGUGCUGCGCCUCCGGGAGACACCCACGUUUACGACUAGGAUCCAGCUUCCUUACUUUCAGAUGGGAAACGAGUCUACUGCAGCUGAAGAAAUUAAAUAUGUAGACGCAAUGAUAUCUAAAUGAGGGUUCCACUUACUCAGUGCUCCUGAUUUUGCACAUUCUAACAUGCCAGUGCCAUUUGCUAAAACAACAAAAAUGCACACAUGUGAAUUCAAUAAAGUAUUAAAAAGUGGGUUUUUUUUUUUUUUUUUAAGUUUAGAAUUACAGGAGUCUUUUACAGACCUUUCAUAACGUCAGAUUCCUGGAAGGAAAAUCUUUUCCAUAAGGAAUAAUGAAAUAGAAAGGUUUUCUAGAGUUUCUCUAAGAGAACAGGGAAUGAAUUGCCCAAAGAUGUCAAGCGGAGCCAUAGCUAUGGUCCGUAGCUCGGAGUGGAAUGUGAUCGGCCAUCGGAAAGGAAUGCAGUCUGUGUUCGCUGGAAUGAAGUGGGCUUUAUGAGUUAUUCUUUCCCAGGACCAAAAAUUGACAAUCGGUUGGCCUAAAUGAAAGUGUUGCUCUUUGGACAGAGUUGUGGGAAUUAGGAGAGAGACUUAGACAGCUACAAGUUCAAGCACAUUGCUGCCCUGGCACUGGGCCCACUGCAGUCUGAGUAAAAUAGAGCUAAAAGCCAAUUAAUGGAGGGUUAACUCUUCCUUAAAACCUGGAACUAUAUCAUCUUGCAAUUAGAGAUCCUGUGUUCUGACCACUCUCCAGAAGGAAGUAUCGCCGGCGGGACAUCUUUGAGAGGCGACUUCCAGACAUCUUCUGGAACACUCUGAAGCAAGAGCGCCAGCAGCCUUUCAGAAGACCCCAUUCCAUCCCUGCGCCCUCGAUUUCAGCAUUUCUUCAACUGUAUGGAACACACAGACAUACUCUUGGAGGCCUCAGAGUUCUAAAAACGAUCUGCAAAUUUUUGUCUUUUCCUUGGGAUCGCCAUCCAAAAGGAAGUGAUACGUGCGCCUCCUCCGGUGACGCGUUUCUUUUUUAAUUAGUACACUUUAUGUGGACGAGUGGUUUGAGGUUUACAGAGAAACUGAGUGAAAAGUGUAAACUCACCUUCCAGCCCUGACUCCUCCACCUCCAGUUCCCACGAUUAACAGCUUCCGUCCGGGUGGCGUAUUCGUCACAGUUGAGGAGCCCAUAGUAAUACAUUCUUAUUCAUUAAAGCCCAUACUUGGCACUAGGGUUCAUUCUCUGCGUUAUACAUCCUAGGAGUUUUGACAAAUGCAAUGACUCCUUUUUGUCCGAGGACCACCAGAGAGAUUUUCAGUCUUACCUUGCUUUUGUGUUUCGAGACCGGUUCCGCUUUAAUUGUCCCGGAUGAGUAAGACAGGAACAGAGUUGGACUUAAUAGGCAACACGUGAUGUCAGUUUUAGUGAUGGAAACUCACACGCCUCAGACAUGAAGGUUUGUCUGUGGUUCAGAAGAAGAAACGGUUUGCUUGGAGUUACCCCAAGACGUGCUGUGGUCCGCCCUCCCCAAGGCAGACGCCGUCAUCGCUGCCGUGUUCACAUCCUGAAAGGUGAUGUUUGUUUCAGCAAAUAGUAUUUCUCACAUUAAUAUAAGGCUAUUGCAAUAUCGCUGACUUUGUAGUUUGCAUUUGCCUUUGCAUUUGGAGGCGUAGUUUAAUUUGUAAGUUUGCACCACUGUGAGUAUAGGGACUUUAUACCUAGUCAUAUGCCCAUAAUUAAGAAAUGCUUUAGAGAAAAUAUUUGUACAUGAUAUGACUGAUAGGAGGGGACUAUCCAAAAUAUGUAACAGCUCAUACAACUCAGUAUCAAAAAAAAAAAACAAACAAAACACAAUUAAACGUGGGCAGAAGACCUUGAUAGAUGUUUUUCUAGAGAAGACAGGCAGAAGGCCAACAGCCACAUGAAAAAAUGGUCACUAUAAUUACACCAGAGAAAUGUGAGUCAAAGUCGCCAUGAGAACACCUCACAGCUGUCAGAAUGGCUACCAUCAAAAAGACCACACAUAACAAACGUUGGCAAGGAUGUGGCGAAAAGAAACACUUACACACUGCUGGUGGGCGUGUAAACUAGUGCAGUCACUGUGGACGUCAAUGUGGGGGUUCCUCCAAAACUAAAAGUAGAACUACCACAUGAUUCCGCAAUUCCACUCCUGAGUGUGUGUCCCAAGACACUGAAAGCACUCAUUUGAAAAGAUGUGUGCACCCUGGUGUUUGCAGCAGCAUUAUUUAUGGCAGCCAAGAGGCGGAAGCAAGCCAAGUGCCCAUCCAUGGAUGAAUGAAGAAAAUGUGGUGUAUAUGUAGAUAUUCGUGUGUGUGCGUGUGCGUGUGCGUGCCAUACAAAGAAGGAGAUUCUGCCAUUUGGAGCAAUGUCAAUGGACCUCGAGAAUAUUAUGCUCAGUGAAAUAAGACAGACAGAGAAAGAUAGAUACCGUAUGAUAAAAAUUCUACGUGGAAUCUAAUAAAUAAAACAAACGAAUGUAUAUAACAAAACAGAAACAGACUCACGGGUAUAGAGAACACACUAGUGGUUUCCAGUGGGGAAAGGGGACGGUCAAGGCACAGGUGUGGGAUAAUAGGCUUAAGAAACAAACUGCUAUAAAAAUGGAUAAGCAAAAAGGAUAUGUCGUACGGCACGGGGAAUACAGCCAUUGUUUUGUAAUCACUUUAAAUGGAGUAUAGUCUAAAAAUACUGAAUCACUCUGUUUUAAACCUGAAACUAAUAUAAUGCUGUACAUCAA